AAGAAAUUAGGUUCAAACUUCAA
rnacentral:tRNA from 2 species